ensembl:antisense Grip1os3 glutamate receptor interacting protein 1, opposite strand 3
CCCCACCCCCAGCACCAGGAGAGCCCACCGCACAGAGAGGAGCCAGGGCUCCACGUGCGCAGCGGGCCCAGGAGAAGCUGGAGUUCCCUCUAGGUCCUCGGGUGCUGACCGUCACACCACUCUGCGCUGUCCCAGGAGCGAAGGCACACCAGCCAGCCCUGAGAAGUUGGCCAAGACGAGCCUUGUCUAGAGAGCACAGAGUAUUGAGCUCACCUCGUCCAGCAAGAAAAAAAACGCAACACGGUCGGAUUCUUCUCAACAGCAUAUUUUUAUUUCUGGAACGCCUCAAUGCAACGGGGACCGGGGAAACCCAGGGAGGACUCCUUAUAUACACCCCAGCACUGGGGAGAGCUAUGUGUCCUCCUGGGAUUGGUCAGUCUGCCCGCACUUUGAUUUGUAAGCACCGGCUCCAGAGGGGUUGGCGCCAGAUUCGGGCUAGCGCCUGCGCAGUGGUGUUGUUUACAGCGACGGUGUACCGGAGGCCAGCGCCACCUUUUAGGCACCCGGCUGCCUACAACAGAGCACAUAGGUUACAGAUGGGUUAUCUCCGUUAUCAUUGGCAUCUACAAAUGAGGAGGUUUUCUAGAAAAGCGUUGGCUGUAAAGGGUGUCUUUCUAUAAUCACUGGGGAGCAAGGAAGGCUCAUUGAGUUAGCCCUCAUGGCUGCAGUGACACGUCAGAUCACCUUAUCAUUUUUUUUAUCUAAUUAAACUGACCGUGGUUUUCUCUGUUAUGAAAUUAAGAAUGUCAACGGGACCUACCACGAAUAAAGAAGCUUUAAAUCUCCCUCA